AGUCCUGAGGUGUUUACAUAUAUGUUUGCAAAACUUAAGUAGUAGGCUAACGUCUGCCGGGGCUU
rnacentral:tRNA from 1 species